UUCUCAGUUGAAUUUUCAUAUAGAAGUAGCGCAAUAUUACUUAUGAACGUACAAAACACCAUGAAAAUCAUCAGGUCCACAGACUUCUAUCGGGACUGUUAAAUAAUUACCUCCGAUACGACAGAUAUGAUCAUUUCAUUGACAAAAUACUUGAUGGGAAAAGAAGAAGACAUCAGAUGAUUCUGAGGUCUAUAAUGAACUAUCAACAUUCAACAUGAUAGCGAGUCGCUAAAUAACCUGGAAACGACAAGAAAAGGAAAUAAACGGAAACUAUGUAAAUUUUUACAUUGGAGUCAAUAAAGAAAAGAGAGCAAAACCAGAAGUUUCUAAAAUAAUCAACAAAAGACAAACAUUUAAAAAUAUUAAAAAUCAUCUGCCGUCAACAAAAGAAUAAUCCCUAAUCACAGUGGAACUGAAACUACAAUGAUAAGAUCUGGUAAAAGUGGGGUUCAACUGAUGACUCCACUGGAGACAUAAUGGAAAAUAAUUGUUGAAAAAUUAGGUAAAGUAAUAAGCACUUAUGGAGGUCGAGGAGGUUCUUACUGGGUACUUUAUAAGAAGAGGUUAGAAGGAGUUAGAAACAUUCAGUAAAAACACCAGAUGGAUAUUAUAAACAUAAAGAAAUCCACAAAUACACGUGGAGACAAAGAAUGAAAGGUUCACAACGGGACAGCAAUCACAAACAAUAGUAAUUAAUGUCAUUAGGAAAAGAGGAGAAGUUUGUGGAUCGAACGAUUACUUACUUAAACCUGUAGCCCACAUAAAGUACACAUGUAAAAUAAAAAGAGUAACUGUCUAAAUUAACAAAGAAUAAUGGAAGCGUUCAAGGAAACUGAUCCUGAAGCACGAAAAAGAGGUCUUAAAAUAAGCGAAAUAAAAACGAAGUACUUACAUGACCGUCAAAGAACACCUGAGAAUAAAAAUAAUAUCGCAAUAGACAACUAUACCCAGGGCCGUAACUACGAUGUUGGUCAUCUGGGGGCCCUCUACCGGAGAGUUUGGGGGGUUUGCCCCCAGCAGAAGGGGGAUUCCGGAAAAAUGUUUGACAUUUAACCCCUUGAAAACGCAUUUUAAUGCAUUUCAUGACUGAAAUUUCUUGUACCUUCAUAUUGCUAUUUUAGACCAACACAAAAAAAUUUGAAAUCACCUUAUUUUAAACUAAAUAAUUUUGCAAGUACCAUCAAUAUAACAUCUUUUAUGUUGUCAUAAAAAAAGAUACUAUAAUAUUAAUUACAUUGUUCGGCUACAAUGUUCUUACAUCUGUUGGAAAAUCUGAAACAAAAAUGUUAUAUGGUAUGGGCGAUUAAAUACUCCCCUGAGGCAUCCCUUCCUGGACUUGUUGUAGCUUAGCCCGGGCCCCCUCUUCCAAUGACAUUUUAGGUUUUAUUUUGCGGAAAUAACUAAUUUCCUAAGUGAUAAUUUAAAUUUUCAUGUUAAGGUCCGUUCCAAUUACAUUUUAGUCAAAAAUACUAAUUUUCCCAGCGAAAAAUUAAAACUUUAUGUUGAGGUCAAAGGUGCCCCUGUAAGAUCUUUUUAAAAUUGUGUCAGUUGAAAAUAUUUCGUUGGGGUCGGCUUUUAAAAUACAUAUUUUUAUGUUCUUCGUUAAAAUGUAUGCACGGCCAAAGAAAAGGGGGCCCCUGCGGGGCUUUCCUUGGCUGGGGGCCUCGGGGCACUGCCCCAAUGGUAGUUACGGCCCUGACUAUACCAUCGAACGUGUGGAUGACUUCACAUAUCUGACCACAGAAAGAAGACCUGUUAGUAACAGAUGGAUGUGAAACCUAGGUAAUGAAAAAAAAUAUGAAGCCCAACUUAAGAUAUUCGAGAGAAAGAUACUGAAAAAGGUAUACAGCCCGGUGCAAGAGGAGGAUGGUACAUAGAGAAGAAGGAGAAACUACUAAAUUAAUGAAGUAAUUAAAUAAAGGGCACGGAUAUUGCAAGAUUUGUGAAAAGUCAAAGAUUGUCAUCGCUGGGACGUGUCCAGAGACAUGAAGAUACAAAAACAACAAAGAAAAUAUUACAGUGGAAACCAAUAGGAAGACGAAAAAAAGGAAGGUCCAUAAAAAGAUGGUUGGAUGACGUGGAAGACGACCUGAAAACCAAUAAUAUAAGACACGCAAAGAUCCAUCCAGAAUUAUGAUGCCAAAAGAAGAAGAACUGUCUAGAUUCAACAAUAUGUAACGUAGAAAGUUUUUUUUAUUUGCAACACAAUAAAAUUGAAAUUACCAUCGCUAAAAUUUUUACAAAAAUGAACCAUUACCAAAUAUUUACCUAUUGAAGAACUAAUAAACUAACUGUAGUUGUUUGUCACAAAAUUAUAGGGUUCAGACAUGUCUCAGUGACUAAUAACUGUUGUCCAUAGUUGCCAUCAGUGUAAAAAUAAUUGUAGCCCAUCAAAAGCAAAUAAUUGCUCAUAAACAAACAAUUUUUAAUUUAUCUCUUUGAUUUAAUUUGUAAUACACACUCCGUUUAAGAAUAGGAGAUAUACCAAUUUAAUUUAUAUGGAAUCGUAUUACCAUGAGGAACACACUAAACUAUCAUGACGUGACUUCGUUUACUUUAUUGACUUGUUUAACCUCUAAUGUUAAUACAUAAAUAUCUUAACUAGGCAAAAAUAAUUAAAACACCAUAUACGGAAUCAGUAAACACUUUGAAAGUGCUUGCUUACUGGAGACACGUUGCAUUGUUAUUUUCAUGGUUAAAUGAGGUAGAUAAAAUUAAAAUUACUACAAACGUAAGAAAUGUUUUUUGUUAAAGUAUAUGCAGAUUAUUUGAUCAUAAAUUACGAAUUGUAAUUAGUUAUGUCAAAGCUUUUAAUGCUGGUUAAAGGAAUUUUGUCAAUAAAGAAGGAAAGUAUUAGAUACGCUCAUCUUCAUCAUAUUAUUAAUUACACAGACACUGAUAGCUUUUUAGGUCACGUUGAAGCCUGAAGUAGUAAUUAAACAAAUCCUUUAAAGACUGUCGAUUAUUUUAAAGAUUUUAAAUAAUAAAUAAAAACAACCACAAGGUGAAUGGAUUCACUGUACUAACUACUGGGGAAUAACACUCCUAAAUACCACCUACAAAGUCCU
rnacentral:lncRNA from 1 species